rnacentral:lncRNA from 1 species
UAGCAAUAUCCUAUAUUGCCACGAGAUAUGGUCGUUGCGAUAAGAGUCUUUGCUAUUUUCUUAAAGGAUAUCGAAACGUGGUGUGUAUCAUUGUAAUAGCUACAUGUAGCAUCAGUUAAUUGUUAUGGCAGUAUGCGCAAUGGUCAUUGCAAUACUAAAUUCACACCGAAUUACAAAUGUUGAUUCUGUGAUUAUUGCAACGAUGUUGAUUCUUUAAUGUAAUGACAUUUUCAAAAAAAAGAAAUUGAUAUAUAUAUAUAUAUAUUAUUAAUGACAUCAAUCCAUCAUUCACUCCCAGCAUUCAUGAUACAAAUGAUGCAACAAAAUAUUCAACAUAUGAAAGUAAGAACUUGUCCUUUCAUCCAUCACUCCCAAUACUAAAAUAUCUACAAAACCUAUAUAUUAUUCAUACGCAUCUAAAAUCUUGAUCACUC